rnacentral:rRNA from 1 species
UACGAGGGGGGCUAGCGUUGCUCGGAAUCACUGGGCGUAAAGGGUGCGUAGGCGGGUCUUUAAGUCAGGGGUGAAAUCCUGGAGCUCAACUCCAGAACUGCCUUUGAUACUGAAGAUCUUGAGUUCGGGAGAGGUGAGUGGAACUGCGAGUGUAGAGGUGAAAUUCGUAGAUAUCUGGAGGAACACCGGUGGCGAAGGCGGCAUCCUGGACCGAUACUGACGCUGAGGAGCGAAAGCCAGGGGAGCAAACGGG